rnacentral:tRNA from 1 species
GCGGAUGUGGCGGAAUGGCAGACGCGCUAGAUUUAGGCUCUAGUGCUGAGAGGCGUGAAGGUUCAAGUCCUUUCAUCCGCA